rnacentral:rRNA from 1 species
UACGUAGGGGGCUAGCGUUGUCCGGAAUCAUUGGGCGUAAAGAGCGUGUAGGCGGCUCGGUAAGUCCGCUGUAAAAGUCAAAGGCUCAACCUUUGAAUGUCAGUGGAUACUGCCGGGCUAGAGUCCGGAAGAGGCGAGUGGAACUCCUGGUGUAGCGGUGGAAUGCGCAGAUAUCAGGAAGAACACCAACGGCGAAGGCAGCUCGCUGGGGGCGGUACUGACGCUGAGACGCGAAAGCGUGGGGGAGCGAACAGG